rnacentral:lncRNA from 1 species
AGGUCAUUCUACAAAGAGAAUAGUUCCCUAGUUAACCCAUAGUUGCCUAAUAACACAGUUAACCUGUAGUUGCCUAGUAACACAAUUAACCCAUAGUUGUCCAAUUCCAUAAGGAGGGGUGGUCUCCUCUCUCAAUAGGUUGUCAGUUUCUGUCAUUAUCUGAAUUUAGACUGUCUCCUCCCCUGGAAUACACUCAACACAUCAAUGCCAUAUUAACGCGUAUGAUCAACCAUCCUUUUUGUAAGGAAUGAGAAGGAAACCUGGUAUCUCUCCGCAGAGAAGGCUUCCCCCACAAGAAGACCUACUCUUACAUGCUCAUAUGCUUGCAUUCUGCAUGGGGAAAAGAAAGAGGAAGGAGAGAGAAACCAAGCAAGUAGAUGGAAGAGUGAGAAAGGAGGAAGACAGAAAAGUUCCUUCUUUCCUUUUUUCCCAGAGAGUAGAUGGUUAAUUCCUUCCUUGGUAUGGAACAGGAUGAAAUAACAAUUUUGAUAUUAUUAUUUGGUUUUAUACAGAAGACAACUUUAGUUCUGAAGUAUAGUUCAUUUGGCUACAUCAUGAAUCUGUGCGAUAAAAGAAAAUUGAAGAUUUAAAUGCAGGUCAGUCUGAUUCAGAAGUGUUCUUUCUACUAUAUCACUUAAGAACUAUAUAUAAAUUCUUACAAAAACUACUGGAGAAAAUACAAAUAAGGAGAAAAUUCAGAGCACCUCUAGUCACCUCCAGUCACCAACACCAACACCUUUGUGUUUAUCCCAACAUAAGCUUUCCUGCCUUCAGAUCAGAUGGCGUGUCUGAGAGAAGUCUCGAAAAAGGUUAUGACUGGGACAUUGGUUAGGAGCUUUCAGGACAUGGACUGUCUGGGAAACAGAGCUGAACGAAUAAAGCUAGUAAGUAGUUGGGAGACUCCGAAACUGUACUAGUAGUCAACAUCUGCCUGCCAGAAGUCAUCUCUCCCUUUGGCAAAGCCCUCACCCAAUUCCUCACCUGUUCUCUCCUCCCAGGUUCAUCUCACUGAGGUCUCUCCCACCCUCUGGCACCUGAAGCAGACACUGCCUAAUCCAUCACAGUCCUUUCUUGUUUCGGAGGCCUCAUACCUUAGCUUUUGCAUGGUUGGUCAUUCCUCUCCAGUCUCCAGGAACCUGGAUGCUGGCAGUUGCCUGACUUUGAACUACUUCCUCAUUUAGACAUCUGGAAUUUGAGGCUCCCUCUUGUUUAAAUGUCUACCUGGCUUCCAGUUCCUCCUUCUAUUUUUUUUUUUUUUUUUUUUGCUUCCACAGAUCAUUCUAAUACCUAGCUUUCAGAAAGAGGCUGUUCCUACUCUAGCAUUCUGACCUGCUCAAAACCAGCCAGUCCCCAUUUUCUAGCCCAUCCCUACACCCAGCAUUUAUCCAGAAUCAUAUCCAGGCCUAGAUUUUAUGGUCCCAAUGUCCAUUCAACAUUAUCUGCAUGCAAAAGGUGACACUGCUUUUUUCUCCUUCUCCCAAGAGACUGGUUGGGCAACAAGGCUUUAAGACAAUUCCCUCUCCCUUUCAUCAUGUACACUAAUUGGUUCUACUUUCUCAAUUACUCCACUUAGCAGUAGUGUAAGUAGUAUAUGUCCUUAAGUGUGCUAUUCCUCUUCUACUAGCAAUAGAAAUAUGUCUUAGUGCAUAAAAUGCAUCUAUAAGGUGUGAAUUUAAAGAAUUGUUAGAAUUUGUUUAUAAACACCAUUUCUCUGUGAUAUAGAUUCCAUUAAAAAUUCCUGAUACCAUACUUUCUCUAUAAAGAUGUCACUGGAUUUUCCCUUCCUUCCCUCCCUCUAUCUCUUGUUCCCUCCCUAUUUGAAAAGAUCUCCCUACUUCCUGUUAUCUAUCUUUUAUUUUGUUCUUUAUACUUGGGGAGGGAAAGGACCAAAAAAUGAAUAAAGAUGUGUUAUAUACAUUUACAAACUCCCCAUGAAAAGUAAUCAUUAUGUACUAAUAAAAUUUAAAAAAAAAAUAAACAGGAAAAAGAGAUAAGCCAAUGACUUAAAAUGACAC